rnacentral:rRNA from 1 species
AUUGAACGCUGGCGGCAGGCCUAACACAUGCAAGUCGAGCGAGCGGCGGACGGGUGAGGAAUGUAUGGGGACUGCCCGAUAGAGGGGGAUAAAUACUGGAAACGGUAGCUAAUACCGCAUACUAUCGGAUAACCCAUAUGGGAUUAGCGAGUAGGUGAGGGAAUUGCUCACCUAGGCGACGAUCCCUAGCUGGUCUUAGAGGAUGAGCAGACACACUGGGACUGCGACACGGCACAGACUCCUACGGAGGCAGCAGUGGGGAAUAGUGAACAAUGGGCGCAAGCCUGAUGCAGCCAUGCCGGGUGUAUGAAGAAGGCCCUAGGGUUGUAAAGUACUUUCAGUCGGGAGGCGUUACCGACAGAAGAAGCACCGGCUAACGCCGUGCCAGCAGCCGCGGUAAUUC